GCCCUCUUAGCUUAAUGGAUAGAGUAGCGGUUUCCGGAACCGCUGAUAGGCGUUCGAUUCGCCUAGAGGGCA
rnacentral:tRNA from 1 species